GGGUUGUGAGGUUAAGCGACCAAGCGUACACGGUGGAUGCCCUGGCAGUCAGAGGCGAUGAAGGGCGUGCUAAUCUGCGAUAAGCGCCGGUAAGGUGAUAUGAACCGUUAUAACCGGCGAUACCCGAAUGGGGAAACCCAGUGUGAUUCGUCACACUAUCAUUAACUGAAUCCAUAGGUUAAUGAGGCGAACCGGGGGAACUGAAACAUCUAAGUACCCCGAGGAAAAGAAAUCAACCGAGAUUCCCCCAGUAGCGGCGAGCGAACGGGGAGGAGCCCAGAGCCUGAAUCAGCAUGUGUGUUAGUGGAAGCGUCUGGAAAGGCGUGCGAUACAGGGUGACAGCCCCGUACACAAAAAUGCACAUGCUGUGAGCUCGAAGAGUAGGGCGGGACACGUGGUAUCCUGUCUGAAUAUGGGGGGACCAUCCUCCAAGGCUAAAUACUCCUGACUGACCGAUAGUGAACCAGUACCGUGAGGGAAAGGCGAAAAGAACCCCGGCGAGGGGAGUGAAACAGAACCUGAAACCGUGUACGUACAAGCAGUGGGAGCACCCUUUGGGGUGUGACUGCGUACCUUUUGUAUAAUGGGUCAGCGACUUAUAUUCUGUAGCAAGGUUAACCGAAUAGGGGAGCCGGAGGGAAACCGAGUCUUAAUUGGGCGUUAAGUUGCAGGGUAUAGACCCGAAACCCGGUGAUCUAGCCAUGGGCAGGUUGAAGGUUGGGUAACACUAACUGGAGGACCGAACCGACUAAUGUUGAAAAAUUAGCGGAUGACCUGUGGCUGGGGGUGAAAGGCCAAUCAAACCGGGAGAUAGCUGGUUCUCCCCGAAAGCUAUUUAGGUAGCGCCUCGUGAA
rnacentral:rRNA from 1 species